UACAGAGGGGGCAAGCGUUGUUCGGAAUUACUGGGCGUAAAGGGCGCGUAGGCGGCCUGCUAAGUCGAACGUGAAAUCCCUGGGCUCAACCCAGGAACUGCGUCCGAUACUGGUUGGCUUGAAUCCGGGAGAGGGACGUGGAAUUCCAGGUGUAGCGGUGAAAUGCGUAGAUAUCUGGAGGAACACCGGUGGCGAAGGCGACGUCCUGGACCGGCAUUGACGCUGAGGCGCGAAAGCCAGGGGAGCAAAGCGGGAUUAAGAA
rnacentral:rRNA from 1 species